GACGAACGCUGGCGGCGUGCCUAAUACAUGCAAGUCGAGCGCAGGAAACUGACGGAACUCUUCGGAGGGAAGGCAGCGGAAUGAGCGGCGGACGGGUGAGUAACACGUAAGGAACCUGCCUCAAGGAUUGGGAUAACUCCGAGAAAUCGGAGCUAAUACCGGAUAGUUCAACGGACCGCAUGGUCCGCUGAUGAAAGGCGCUUCGGCGUCACCUUGAGAUGGCCUUGCGGUGCAUUAGCUAGUUGGUGGGGUAACGGCCCACCAAGGCGACGAUGCAUAGCCGACCUGAGAGGGUGAUCGGCCACACUGGGACUGAGACACGGCCCAGACUCCUACGGGAGGCAGCAGUAGGGAAUCUUCCACAAUGGACGAAAGUCUGAUGGAGCAACGCCGCGUGAGUGAUGAAGGUUUUCGGAUCGUAAAACUCUGUUGUAAGGGAAGAACACGUACGAGAGGAAAUGCUCGUACCUUGACGGUACCUUACGAGAAAGCCACGACUAACUACGUGCCAGCCGCCGCAGUAAUAC
rnacentral:rRNA from 1 species